rnacentral:lncRNA from 1 species
AAAAAAAGAAAGAUGCACAUGAAUUUGCAGUGGAAAGUAUUAGAUCUACAAAUAGACAGCCAUUAACUCUAAAAUUUCCAAACAGAAGGAAAAUUGGGAAAUCUUUUUUGCCCAAAGCCCAAGAGGAAUUACAAAGUGCAACAAGAAAUUAUUAAAAAAAUUAAUAACAAGUAAAAUGAAAGCACGGUAAGUAAAUAUUUUACUUUUCUGAAGGCUAGUGUGGCAGCAACAAUGUCUGCGGCGGGAUUGAGGCUGAGGGAUGAACAGAGAAGCUAACAGAGGGAGUAAGAAAGAUGAAAUUAGGGUUUUUCGAAGCGUGCAGAACACAACAAAAUUGAUUAAAAACUCUGCAUUCAGGGAUGAAAGUGAAACAGUCUUUAGUUAGUCAAUGUCAGCGGCAGCCAACUGUUAAACAUUACCAGAUUCAUUAACCAGCUAAUGCUUGAGGGUAAAGUGAUAUUAUUUAAACUAUUGGGGCAAAUUUUAUAUUUGGUAAGUUAAAAGAAAAAAGGAGAAACACUUCUGAUGUUUUCAACUUUGAUAAGAACAGAAGAAAAAUUGCGAAAUCUUUUUACUCGAAGCCUAAAAGGAGGAAUUACAAAGUCCAAUACAAAAUCAUAAAAACAAUAAUAAACAAAUAAAAUGAAAGCAUGGUAACUAGAUAUUGUACCAUUCUGAAGGCUUUCGUUAUGGUUUUCUAUGAUGCUUUUGUUAAUUAGGGGCGGGCAAAUUGGGUUUCAGUUCGGGUUGUUUGAGUUUCGAUUUGGAU